UCAUGCAAAGGCUUGAAAGAUAACAUCAAUGGUCUCUUAGUUUGAGUGUCCUCCCAUUGGAGGAUCUAGAUCACAUCGUGAACAUAUAUAGUUAACAUUCUACUACUUUCCCGAGCCCUCAUAUUCCUGAUGCUCGAGUGCCAAUAUGGCCAAUCUACCUUUUGGACAUUCAAUUCUCAAAGUGCAAAUUUAAAUAUGUGAUUGGGAAUCCUCUUAAAUGACC
rnacentral:lncRNA from 1 species